CUACAGAGGCUGAUGAGGCUUCUGAUUGUGCAGGACUCAGCGAUUCUGAGUCUAUAUGGGGUGCCACCGGCGCCAUGAUGGAGUCUCCCACGUCUGCCAUGCGGUCUGUGUACUCCUUGAAGUGGCGGGUAACCGAGCCCGGUUUACCCGCUGGCUGUUUCCCCUGUGGCUGGUGAGGGGUUUGUUGUCUCUUGUUGUUCCC